CCUACGGGUGGCUGCAGUGAGGAAUAUUGGUCAAUGGACGGAAGUCUGAACCAGCCAUGCCGCGUGCAGGAUGACGGCUCUAUGAGUUGUAAACUGCUUUUGUACGAGAAUAAUAGUUCUUACGUGUAGGGAUUUGAAUGUAUCGUACGAAUAAGGAUCGGCUAACUCCGUGCCAGCAGCCGCGGUAAUACGGAGGAUUCGAGCGUUAUCCGGAUUUAUUGGGUUUAAAGGGUGCGUAGGCGGAAUAUCAAGUCAGCGGUAAAAAUUCGGGGCUCAACCCCGUCGUGCCGUUGAAACUGAUGUUCUUGAGUGGGCGAGAAGUAUGCGGAAUGCGUGGUGUAGCGGUGAAAUGCAUAGAUAUCACGCAGAACUCCGAUUGCGAAGGCAGCAUACCGGCGCCCAACUGACGCUGAAGCACGAAAGCGUGGGUAUCGAACAGGAUUAGAUACCCGGGUAGUC
rnacentral:rRNA from 1 species